rnacentral:rRNA from 1 species
AGAGUUUGAUCAUGGCUCAGGAUGAACGCUAGCUACAGGCUUAACACAUGCAAGUCGAGGGGAAACGGAACAUCGAAAGACUUGCUUUUGUAUGGGCGUCGACCGGCGCACGGGUGAGUAACGCGUAUCCAACCUGCCUAUCACUUGGGGAUAACCUUGCGAAAGUAAGACUAAUACCCAAUGACGUCUCUAGAAGACAUCUGAAAGAGAUUAAAGAUUUAUCGGUGAUGGAUGGGGAUGCGUCUGAUUAGCUUGUUGGCGGGGUAACGGCCACCAAGGCGACGAUCAGUAGGGGUUCUGAGAGGAAGGUCCCCCACAUUGGAACUGAGACACGGUCCAAACUCCUACGGGAGCA